AUGGUAACCAUGACAACCAGAGCAAAGCUCAGAGGAACCAACCUGGACCUGGACCUGGACCUGGACCUGGAUCUAAAUCCAGCUGGGGGUCCAAAAGGAGUGACAUGUCAAAGGAUUUACCAAUAACCUUCAAGGACAUCCAUUCAGGAGUGGAACAAGGUCAACAGGUCACACAGAGAGUCCAGUCUGCAGCCUCCAGCUGUGGAUCCAUGAAGAGUGACAGGUUCAAAGAUCAUCCUCCAGGCUUCAGAACUGAACCAGGACCUUCGGACUCACAGUAAGCAGUUUCUAGUGAACAGAGAUCUGUCAAUUAAUCUUUUUCCACAGAAAGAAUUUAGAGGAGAUUUUGUUGUUGGAGAGAAACCAAAACAGUAACUUUAGCUCCAAAUCCCAAACAGUCUUUAAAAAUGUCAGGUAUGAUGUCAUCAUUCUCUGAUGGUUUGAAGUCCUUCAGGUCACUGAGUGAACAGAAUUCAUUCAAAUGAAAGUGGUUUUCUGAGAUGUUAUACAUCAUUCCAGAUAGAGCUGUGACAGUGUCGGAUUUUUGAUCACCGCGGUGAUG